rnacentral:rRNA from 1 species
AACGCGAAGGACCUUACCAGCUCUUGACAUUCGGGGUAUGGGCAUUGGAGACGAUGUCCUUCAGUUAGGCUGGCCCCAGAACAGGUCAUGCAUGGCUGUCGUCAGCUUGUGUCGUGAGAUGUUGGGUUAAGUCCCGCAACGAGCGCAACCCUCGCCCUUAGUUGCCAGCAUUUAGUUGGGCACUAUAAGGGGACUGCCGGUGAUAAGCCGAGAGGAAGGUGGGGAUGACGUCAAGUCCUCAUGGCCCUUACGGGCUGGGCUACACACGUGCUACAAUGGUGGUGACAGUGGGCAGCGAGACAGCGAUGUCGAGCUAAUCUCCAAAAGCCAUCUCAGUUCGGAUUGCACUCUGCAACUCGAGUCCAGAAGUGGAAUCGCUAGUAAUCGCAGAUCAGC